rnacentral:sRNA from 1 species
AAGUUGCUUUUUAAUUAUCAGUUAUGGCCAAUAACAAAAUUAUCCUGUAUUUCAAUUUGAUGAUUGAAUGUGUCAGACAGACAUUACAAACGACCUCAAGAUCUCCAGCAACGAAAUUCAUUAUCUUGAUGUUUGUGAUUUUCUACAAAUAGGAAAACUUACAUGUAUCACUGUGUUCAUUAUAUUUAUUAGUACUCCGUGUCAUUUUAAGAUAUCAAGCUGUCGGUUCAAAUGUCCCUGACGUUCAUGAUAAAACGUGUGUGUUUUGUAAAGGAUUAAUUGUAUUAUGUGUACAGAGACACACAGGAGACAAGUACAGGUAACUCACAGGUAACUAGCACAAUCAGGACAGGUGACCAUGUUCAACAACAGAUGUCACACAAAUGUUUUGAUCCAGUACCAAUUGUGUUGAAUUUAUUCAGAAUAUAUGUAGUCUACCUGCAGGCCAGUUAUGCAAUAAAAUCUCGUAGAAA